AAGUCUUAUAGCUUCGGGACUGACACCAUUUGCCUUCACGGUAUCUGCGUAUUGCAAGAAUAUGGACAAAUGUAAAUUGGGGUCGUCCGUGGGGUUUCCGGAGAAUUGGUUUUGUUGUACGGCCGACAACAGCGAAGGUUUAAGCUCAAAGUUAUUUGCUUCAAUAGCGGGGGCAGCGAUGCUAUUGUGCGGUUCUUCUU
rnacentral:lncRNA from 1 species